UACAGAGGGUGCGAGCGUUAAUCGGAAUUACUGGGCGUAAAGCGUGCGUAGACGGUUAUUUAAGUCGGAUGUGAAAGCCCCGGGCUUAACCUGGGAACUGCGUUUGAAACUGGGAGACUUGAGUGUGGCAGAGGGGGGUGGAAUUCCACGUGUAGCAGUGAAAUGCGUAGAUAUGUGGAGGAACACCGAUGGCGAAGGCAGCCCCCUGGGUUAACACUGACGCUCAUGCACGAAAGCGUGGGGAGCAAACAGG
rnacentral:rRNA from 1 species